rnacentral:rRNA from 1 species
AUGGCCGGCCACCGGAACAAGGUCUCCUGGUCCUCCGGCCUCUGCGGCUGCUUCGACGACCUCGGCGGCUGCUGCCUGACACUCUUCUGCCCGUGCAUCACCUUCGGAAGGAUCGCCGAGAUCGUCGACAAGGGGGCCAUAUCAUGCUGUGCGAGUGGGACGAUGCAUGUGCUGCAGGGCUUGGGGACGUCGGCGAUAGGCUCCAUCCUCUACCACUGCUGCGAUCGUGCCAGGCUGCGGGCGGAGCACGGGCUGGAGGAGAAGCCAUGCGCCGACUGCUGCACACCUUCUGCGGGUAUUGUGCCCUCUGCCAGGAGUAUCGCGAGCUCAAGGGUCGCGGCUUUGACAUGCAGGCGGGAUGGCAUGCCAACAUGGAGAGGAUGGGGAAGACUGUCGCGCCCCAGAUGA